CCUACGGGAGGCAGCAGUGGGGAAUAUUGCGCAAUGGGGGCAACCCUGACGCAGCAACGCCGCGUGAUUGAAGAAGGCCUUCGGGUUGUAAAGAUCUUUAAUCGGGGACGAAGUUUCACGGUACCCGAAGAAUAAGCUCCGGCUAACUACGUGCCAGCAGCCGCGGUAAUACGUGGGGAGCAAGCGUUAUCCGGAUUUACUGUGUGUAAAGGGCUCGGAGGCGGGCAUGCAAGCCAGAAGUGAAAUCUUGGGGCUUAACCCCCAAACUGCUUUUGGAACUGCGUGUCUUGAGUGAUGGAGAGGGAGGUAGAAUUCCCAGUGUAGCGGUGAAAUGCGUAGAUAUUGGGACGAAUACCAGUGGCGAAGGCGGCCUGCUGGACAUAAACUGACGCUGAGGCGCGAAAGCGUGGGGAGCAAACAGGAUUAGAUACCCCAGUGGUC
rnacentral:rRNA from 1 species